rnacentral:rRNA from 1 species
UACGGGGGGGGCAAGCGUUGUUCGGAAUUACUGGGCGUAAAGCGUGCGUAGAUGGUUCAUUAAGUCGAAUGUGAAAGCCCCGGGCUCAACCUGGGAACUGCAUCCGAUACUGGUGGACUAGAGUGCGGUAGAGGAUGGCGGAAUUCCCGGUGUAGCGGUGAAAUGCGUAGAGAUCGGGAGGAACACCAGUGGCGAAGGCGACUACCUGGCCUGUUCUUGACGCUGAGGCGCGAAAGCUAGGGGAGCAAACGGG